rnacentral:rRNA from 1 species
AUGUCAUGUUUCCGGUUGCCAAGGGGUGUGUGUGAGGAUAUCACCUCUCUCAUACGCCAGUUUUGGUGGGGCAGUAAAAGAGGACAGAGGAAACCAACAUGGGUUGCACGGGAUGUGAUGACUAGACCCAAGUACAUGGGGGGUAUGGGAUUCAGGGAUUUGGAGCUGUUCAACUUGGCGUUAUUAGCAAGGCGGGCAUGGAGAGUUUUGGUUGACGAUGAUUCUUUGAGUGCUCAAAUACUCAGAGCAGCUUAUUAUCCUGAUUGCUCUCUGCUUGAUGCAACUCUUAGUCUGCAUCCAUCUCAGAUUUGGAGGGCCGUAAUUGACGGUAGAGAUGUGAUUGCUCAAGGAAUUGUACGUCGAAUUGGAGACGGAAAGACUACCAACAUUUGGCGUCAUAACUGGAUACCG